rnacentral:rRNA from 1 species
GAUGAACGCUGGCGGCGUGCCUAAUACAUGCCAGUCGAGCGAACAGACGAGAAGCUUGCUCCUCUGACGUUAGCGGCGGACGGGUGAGUAACACGUGGAUAACCUACCUAUAAGACUGGGAUAACUUCGGGAAACCGGAGCUAAUACCGGAUAAUAUAUUGAACCGCAUGGUUCAAUAGUGAAAGACGGUUUUGCUGUCACUUAUAGAUGGAUCCGCGCCGCAUUAGCUAGUUGGUAAGGUAACGGCUUACCAAGGCGACGAUGCGUAGCCGACCUGAGAGGGUGAUCGGCCACACUGGAACUGAGACACGGUCCAGACUCCUACGGGAGGCAGCAGUAGGGAAUCUUCCGCAAUGGGCGAAAGCCUGACGGAGCAACGCCGCGUGAGUGAUGAAGGUCUUCGGAUCGUAAAACUCUGUUAUUAGGGAAGAACAAAUGUGUAAGUAACUAUGCACGUCUUGACGGUACCUAAUCAGAAAGCCACGGCUAACUACGUG